rnacentral:rRNA from 1 species
UACGGAGGGUGCGAGCGUUGUCCGGAAUCAUUGGGCGUAAAGGGCGCGUAGGUGGCCCGGUCAGUCAGUGGUGAAAGCGCGGGGCUCAACUCCGCGUCGGCCAUUGAUACUGCGGGGCUCGAGCACUGUAGAGGCAGGCGGAAUUCCGGGUGUAGCGGUGGAAUGCGUAGAGAUCCGGAAGAACACCGGUGGCGAAGGCGCUCUACUGGGCCAUAACUGACACUGAUGGACGAAAGCUAGGGGAGCGAAAGGG